CACCGAGCGGGACGCGAGCGGGGACGGGCGGGGGUGCCUUGGCGCAGGUGGCCCGGCGGAGACCGGGGGUCCCCUCGGCAAUCCACCCCGAAACUUUUCUCAAACUCGUGGCGAGGGCCGAAGAGAUCGAGCUGCAGUGACAGCAAGCCCCCUCUCUCGCCCGCGCCCUGCCCCCUCCACGCUCUCAGCCCUCCCUCGGUCCAAGGUCUGGGCACCCCCCUGCCCGUUGGGCUCCGGCUCCUGCCCCCGCUGCCCGGACUUCCAGUUCAUCGGGGACCAGCGGCCAGGAGCAAACUUCAGCCGCCGGCGGCAGCGCAAGCCCAGCCCCCUCGGCCUCCUCCUCCGGCUCCCGCCCUCCGCUGGUCGGCCCAGAUCAGGCAUGUUUGGGACUCGAAUGGACCCGUGUGCAGCGAGCCCAAUGCUGGGCACAGGAGACAUGAUGUAACCAUGUGGACAAUGUGCCCAUCUGGAGACCUCAUCUGGCCUGCUGACAUCAGAGUGGUUCCACUGUGAGGGAAGAAAGGUCUCCUCCCUCACACCAUCCCCUGACUCCCAGACACCUAGCCGGACACAGAUCGGAUCCACUGGAAGGGCAGGAAUACCAACGUGUUGGAUUGAAGGAGAGAGAAUUGGAGUGGUUCCCUUCAAUUCCCUCUCUCCGUCGGUGCCCAGAGGUCUCCUGUCUGCCUGUCACAGACAUGCAGAGACCUGGAAACAGCACCAGGAGCAGUCAAGUCUGCUGCAUGCCAUGUGACCUUGGCCAAGUCAGUCCCUUUUUGGACCUCAAGAUCCUCCUAGGUAAAAGCAUGAGGUUAUAUUCCCUAAGCUUUAAGGCUCUGUUACAGCUCCAUCAAACACUCCAACUGAGAUCACUUAUAUAAAAUGUCACAUCUUCCAGGGGGCUGUGUAUUUUGAAAGGCUCCCCUUGGAGAGGACAAUGCUUAAUUCAAAGAUGGGUGAAAUCUGGGGCACAGUACCAAGUGGUGGAGAGGAGAUGUGGUUCCAGGGAACGUCUCCAAUCCCAGCAGGUAGGGAACUGCUUCCUCUCCUACCUGGGACACUAGAACCUCUGUCCUUUUUGAAAAGACACUGGCUUGGUGAAUCCUCACUGUGAAAAGCCCCCACCAGCUACCCUGCCCCACCCCUACACCCCCAUGGCAUGUAAUGGAAAAAGCCACACAGGCUGGACUCAAUCUUGGUUCACCCAUCCAAGCCUGGAGACUUUGAACAAGUCACAUCAUCUGCCUGAGCCUUGGUUUCCUCAUCUGUGAAAUGGGAGUUGUGGUGCUGUACCUCCCAGGGUAGUAAGAAAAUAAAUGGAGACUGUGAAUAUAAGCAAA